rnacentral:lncRNA from 1 species
UAUAUAUGGAUGAAAGUUGAUUUAUGAUAAUUUCAUCUAUUGAUUUCUUAUGUAUACAAUGUAUAAUAAUCAAACAACUUAUUAUUUUAGAAUGCUCUUUGAAAUACUUAAGAUGUAUAAAAUUAUAUUUUAGAUAGAUGAAUGUUUUUUUUUAUAUGUAUCAAAAUAAGAAGCAUCUCAUUUAGAUAAUUGUAUGUAAAAUAUGAUUUAUAAUUAGAAUAGCUUAUGGUAUGGAGGUUAUUUAUUGGGUUUAGGAUUAUAAGGAUGUGCUUGAGUUUUUUUUAUCUUCUUAUUUUUAGAUUUUGAGUUGAUAUAAUCUUCUAUUUUUGAGGUAUAAGAUACUAAUGGUGUAAAUAACUUGUUCUAUAAGUUCUUAGUUUAUAAGAUAUAAGUAGUUUGACUUUGUUUCUAAAAUAGUUGACUUUUAUGAUAUAAUAAAUAUUUGAAAGUUUUAAAAAGAA